UAUAUUAUUAGAAGCGAUGAAGUUUUCCUUGAAUUUGGACGCUUGAGGGAAAUGGAGCAAAUAGCGUAACCGGCUAAUUGAGCC
rnacentral:ncRNA from 2 species